AUGUGUGUGGGUGACAAUCAAUCACAACAAAAAUUUUGUUUUACUUAUAAUCGUUCGAUUGGAAAAUACUAUUCCGCAAGCCAGUUGUUUGUGUUUAAUUAAUUAUAAUAAUUAUACGAAAACGAGACUGCUUCCCGAAUGGUAUGGUUAGAACAAAUUUAGAUAAAACGGAUCAGCUAUUGGGUUCGAAGUUCUGAGUUGACCAAUUGAUUCAUCCUAAGAACAUUUUGCUAUAAAAGACUACA